rnacentral:pre_miRNA from 1 species
GACAGCGUGCCGUCUCAUUUCCUUCCGCUAGUCUAUGAUGCAGAUUCUUCAUCUGUUUCGUGUGAUGCUUGUGCACGAGUCAGACGAAGGUCUGCAUCAUAGUCAAGAGGAAGCAAAUAUGAAAUUCAGGAGC